rnacentral:rRNA from 1 species
GACGAACGCUGGCGGCGUGCCUAAUACAUGCAAGUCGAGCGAGCUUGCCUAGAUGAAUUUGGUGCUUGCACCAGAUGAAACUAGAUACAAGCGAGCGGCGGACGGGUGAGUAACACGUGGGUAACCUGCCCAAGAGACUGGGAUAACACCUGGAAACAGAUGCUAAUACCGGAUAACAACACUAGACGCAUGUCUAGAGUUUAAAAGAUGGUUCUGCUAUCACUCUUGGAUGGACCUGCGGUGCAUUAGCUAGUUGGUAAGGUAACGGCUUACCAAGGCAAUGAUGCAUAGCCGAGUUGAGAGACUGAUCGGCCACAUUGGGACUGAGACACGGCCCAAACUCCUACGGGAGGCAGCGGUAGGGAAUCUUCCACAAUGGACGCAAGUCUGAUGGAGCAACGCCGCGUGAGUGAAGAAGGGUUUCGGCUCGUAAAGCUCUGUUGGUAGUGAAGAAAGAUAGAGGUAGUAACUGGCCUUUAU